ensembl:lncRNA
CAGAACUCCAGGUCAAUUAUCAUGAUGACAGACAGGUGGGGUCUGGAGCUGCUCUUCAGCCAGGCAUCAUCAACAUCUACACAAACCUUCUCCCCACACUAAAAGAUAGCACAUCACCACCGCAAGUCAAAUGCUUGAACAGAAGAAAGAAGUGUGUGGUGUACUGAAGAAAGCAGAAUCUUAACCGAAGAUGAAAUGAAACCAGACAGAAUAUGGAAAAAAAACUGAAGUGAAAUACAGACAAGUGACAAAUUAAAAGCAAGACCCAAAUAAAUACCAGUCUUCCCAAAGAUAUUCCUUCCCUCCCUUGGUGUUUUGAUGAUGUUUGAGGUUUUAAAUCAGGUUACGCCCGGUGGGAGUGGCUAGAUGCACCUGUGGCUCCUUACAAUCAGCAAGGAUGGUUAAAUGAUGAGCCAACUUGAGCAUUGUGGCCAGUGGGCCGAAUCAGCUGCCAGAGUGUGGUGUUGUUGUCUUGCGUUCUGCUUAAGGACUAGUCUCUGCUGGCUAAAGAGCUGGGUAGAGUGACCAGCUUUGCACUUAUGAGGUGUGCUUUUGUGUCGGAAUCGUCUUUUUAGAUAAAUAAAUGUUCUUUUGUUGAUGUUACCCAAUCAGUUUUCGUGCCUCUGUAUCUGUUUCUUCUUUAUAUUCGUUACUCCCCUCAUCCCCUAGUUCUCGGGGACAUAACAUGGACAGUGGACAUGAAAAGACUUCUGUGGGUCUCAGACAAUGAAUCCUCAAGACUUUAGUAAUGCUUUAAUUUUUCCUCAAGCACCACCAGUUUAACAUGUUUGGUUUCAUAUUAAAUGUCUUUACUUUUGACUUAGUUAUCAUCAGAUUUUGUCCUGUCAUGAUGACUGAGUCCUAAUGACUUUGUUGAUUCUCUUCUGUUUCAG